rnacentral:rRNA from 1 species
CCUACGGGUGGCAGCAGUGAGGAAUAUUGGUCAAUGGGCGAGAGCCUGAACCAGCCAAGUCGCGUGAAGGAUGAAGGAUCUAUGGUUUGUAAACUUCUUUUAUAUGGGAAUAAAGUGAGGAACGCGUUCCUUUUUGUAUGUACCAUAUGAAUAAGCAUCUGCUAACUCCGUGCCAGCAGCCGCGGUAAUACGGAGGAUGCGAGCGUUAUCCGGAUUUAUUGGGUGUAAAGGGUGCGUAGGUGGUUAAUUAAGUCAGCGGUGAAAGUUUGUGGCUCAACCAUAGAAGUGCCGUUGAAACUGGUUGACUUGAGUGUAGAUGAGGAAGGCGGAAUGCGAGGUGUAGCGGUGGAAUGCAUAGAUAUCACGCAGAACUCCGAUUGCGAAGGCAGCUUACUAGACUAUAACUGACGCUGAGGCACGAAAGCGUGGGGAUCGAACAGGAUUAGAUACCCUUGUAGUC